GGUAGAAUGGUCGAAUUAGGCGUAGGGUUGUAGCCCCUUUUAUAAAGGUUAAAGUCCUUUUUUUAUCA
rnacentral:tRNA from 1 species